AAUUUACUAUCAACCAAUUUCAA
rnacentral:snRNA from 1 species